AAAAGGAAUUACAACUUCCUGUGAGUAGUUCUUUCUUUGAGUUCUGAGUUCUAGUUGGAGCCUGGUGAAGAAUAUGCUUACUGGACCUGAGACCUUGGACUUGUAACGAUUGGAUUUGGCUAUCUCAUGAUUGUAACAAUGAAGUGUAUCAGCUCACACUUCGAUAUGAAUAAGCAACAGACAAAUUUCAUGCGGACUGUUUUCUAAAUGGAAUGUACUAAUAAUACAGAGGAAUCAUUGAGUAUUGAAUAAAUAAAGUAGCAGGAGCAAGCAAACGAUUUUUGAGCAAGGUUUAUCUAUUCAGUCAACUAAAUGACUGGUGAAGAGUGCUGGAAUUGGAAUAAGAAAAAUCUGAAUUCAAAUCUUUCCUCAGAAAAUAAUCAUCUUUAGGACACAGGGCCCCAGUGCUCUGGGCCAGAGAGCUGACUUCAUCUUGCUCUAUGAACCUUUUGAUGGAAGAACUUCUCAUGAACUUGGGACUGUACCUUGAUUUCUUCAGGCAACACGUGUUCUGCUUCAGCACUGAGGGACUUGUAUUUUGGCACCUGAACAAUGAUCCCGAGACAGAUGUGCCUAGCUUUGAUGACAACUUCGUGAAUUCAAGUUGGAACUUCCUGAGUUUGGGGCUUGUUGCCUAGUCAGAAACACUUUUAUUAAUUUCUUGCAAGAUGGAGGCUAUCCACUACUGGAAGGUUACUAAAACUGAUAUGAGUAGAAAAAAUCUAAUUGUCUUUAGGUUCAAGAAAAAUCAAAUCUUUCUCUGGAUUGUUCAAAGAUAUUAACCUUGAUUAAAGCAUCUAGCCAAUAGAGAUCUGAAGUGAAAUUAAAAUGCCAAUUCAUCUAUCCCACAAAAU
rnacentral:lncRNA from 1 species